CUCAGCGGUGCGGGGAGCGGAGCAGUGAGGGCGGGAAGGGCUGAGGGGGAGGAGAUAACGGCCUGGUGACCACCGCACCCCGUGCGGUGCGAAGCCGUCCAGGUGAACGGUGGCGGGAGCUGACGGCUCUGCGUGGCCUCACGGUCUUCUGGCAAGCAGAGUGCCGAGAACGUCCCCGUGAUGAGGGAUGAGGGAAGGAAGUGGGAGGAAUGUUUUCUGUGCAACCACAGAGCAGAGGAGCUGUGGAGAUCUGUGCCAUCAGUGCCAAGUUUGGUACUGGAAGGCCUAAGCCAGUGCCAGUGAUGAGGUCCUGACAACCCAUGAGCAAGUGUGCUGGCACAGGGAGAGGAGGGAGAGCUCUACCAUGGAAACUGCUCUGCAAUGAAGAACUCGAGCUGAUGGCACCUGCAGCAAUGAGUCCCCUCCCGAGAGGUGUGGGCAGAGGCGCAGCAUGCCCAGCGGGGUGGCGGAGCGGAACCCCACCAUGGAGCCUGCAGCCACAACGCCCUUCCGCGUCACGGUGAGUGUCUGCCUGCCUGCAGGGAGGAGGAUUCGCUCAUCCCGAGAGUCGAGGUGGUGGUAUACACAGAACAACGCUUUGGUUACCCCUUAUUAAGUACACGUGGUUUUGUUGGAUACUGUCAGCAACAAGCAGCUGUGAAAUAUUUCUUUGUAAAGCAACAAGAUUCGUAUUAGAGCCCAGAGCAGGUUUGGGUGAGUUGUUCCAUUUGAAAGGUUUUCCCAGUGAGGUUUCAUUUGUGAAUCCUUGGGUCAUGCACUGUAUUCAUAGAUGUACUUCCUACUCUGAAACUGUACCUUACAUCCUCAUCCUUCUACAGAAGCUUCUAUACAAAGAGCCUGCCAGGCUGAUGGCUCCCCAGAAACUGUUAUCCUCUCCUAGCAGGAGCCAGGAGGAGCCAUUCUUUGUUUUGCAUUUCUUCAAUCGUUUUGUUUUGCAGUUCUCUGCUAACAUUGCUGUUUUGUUGUGAUAACAGUAGGUAAAGAAUGGGAAGUCAUUUGGGAGUGGAAAAGAGCAACACCACUAACAUGAGUAACAGUGAUACCAAACACAAACAGAACAAACCAGGUCUUUGAACUCCGUGGGGAAGGGAACUACUGCGUCCAUUACAAAUAAGGGAGCUGAAGACACAAAGAAGUCAGUUAGUGGCUGACCAAGGGAGCUGUUGUUGCCGAGCCCUAGGUCUAAGAUGUGCAUACGUCAGAGUCAUCGCCAAGAGUUUCACUGCAGAAUCUGAAAGAGGAGGGAGUCCAACCACAGAGCUCUGCACUGUCUGCACUGCCUGUCUGCACUGCUGUAAGAUGGGCUGUGCAGGCUGGCUCACAGCUUUAGAGAUUUUUAGGCCCUGUCAUACCUUGGAGAUCAGCUCUGGACUGAGUUAAAAGUCUUCUUUAGUCAGAAUGUGCACAGUGACGUUUAUGAGUUCUCCCCCUCUAACAUCCUGCAGGUAUUACAUAGGCUUCUAGAAUGGAUCGCCUUAAUUUUUGCAAGGAUUAUUUAUCUAAUUGAUAAUAUCAAAUCCAAGUAAUUAUUUAAUUUAGGAGUGUGCUCAGAGGAGUACACUGAGGCACAGUGAUGGGAUCAAAACACUUCCCAGAAAGCAGGCAAGGAAGUUGGAGCUGCGAGUGGCUGAUUUGCUUGUGAUGCAUCAUUGGCCCCAACACAUCUGUAGUCAAUGAAAUGGCCCUCUGGGAGGCUGGAGUUUUGUAAUCAGCUGAAGACACCAAGGUCUUUUGGGUAACAAUUGGAUGUAAACCCCAUUAAAAGUAAGGGAAAUGUAUUUAUCAAUUUUUAAGAAUAAGUAUGAGCAUCAUGCCUUACAGAUGGAUGUUCUCAGUAUGAGUGAUCGCCACGGCCACCAGGAGUUCUGGGAGGGAAACAUCUGCUGUAUGUGGAUAAUAAGCUUGAGCACAGAUAUUUUCAUUUAGAGAGAAGGCCAAUGGUCUUGGAGCUGAUUUGUCUGACGUGUGUUUAUAUGUUUCCUCUGCAAGCCACACCUACUUACAGGCUCAGCUGCUUCAUAACAAACUGAGGUGGGUAAAACCAGAAUUUCAAAGGAAAGACAAUGGUGCAAUCUAAAAAAAGCCUGAGCACACCCAGUUCACCUGAGAACAUUGGUACUGGGAAUGAAUCACUGCCAGUGGUUUGCAUAAGAAGUUUAUUUUAGUUCUGCAAGUUGUGAGUUAGUAACUGCAUAACAUUCUCUCCAGUGUUUAUAUUCUGUAGGCACAGUAUCCAAACGCAUGUUGAAUAUGUAAGGAGGAGGGGUUUGGGGCUGACCUGUUUGCUAAAUGAGAUGGGAAGAAGUGCUGAAGGCAGUGAGUGGAUGGCAGGAGCUGUUGGGAAGGUGUGUGUGGUACACAGCAAAUACUGAAGAUAAUGAAACAGAAAAACAAUAAGAGCUUUGCUGUAGGGGUGUGUUUGGUUUUCUUCUUUUAGAGCUGAUAAAAGUUCUCCCAGCACUUCCCAGUUCAAGCAGGGCAAAACACAGAGAGCGUCCUUAGCUCUGGCUCCCCUUGUGGGAUCACCUUCCUGCUGAACAAGGUGCAUCGUGUUCCAGUGCCAGGAGAGAAACUAAGUUUUUGUCUCUAACCCCUUGUUUCACAAGCCGUAAUCUGUCUGAAUUGAUUGUCAGUUAUAAAUGUUCUGAACCUCUGAGCACAGCAAGCAGAAACACAGUGAAGCUAACUGAAUAGGCAUGCUUUUGCUUUGUGUCUUUUGUUCAACAGUCUGCCUCUGUAAAUGAGUAUCUUUGAACCUUAAACACUGUACUAGUGCUGAAAGAGGCAAAGAAGGAUGGCAAAAUCUGGAUUCUUCAAAAGACAGUGGACCUGGUAGCAUUUUUCUUAGUGCAUCUGUAGUCAGUGAAAAUCAAUUGCUGCCUAUUUCUGUUCCAAGGACGUAUCUCCCGCUUCAUGUUUUUGGGGGAGUUAUUCCCGUGGUUAAGCAGGUCAGCUCAUGGUAGUGAGCCAGCCUAUAUGGGAUGUGGUUGCUCCCUGUGACUGGCUGGGUUAUUCAGUAUGGAUUAAGUAAGGGCAAUCAUCAGAUGGAUAAUAUGUAGCAUUUAUCUCCUCUCAGCUACAAUGCACUAUUAUCUCAUUUCUGUUUCUGCUCAGCCCUCCGAAUGUUAUUGCCAUUAAUAUGAAUGGCUUCAUUACAUACACAGUUUUUAUGGCUGCCCAGAUCUCAGCAUAUGUCUGACUUAAGAAAUAUUCUCCCUCACCUUCCUUCAUUAACCAGACAGGAACAUUAGCAGUCAGUCCACUCCAGCCACUGGGAAUAGUAAUUAGUGCUGUAGUUUAGUGGUAAUGGGAUUAUUACUUUUGAGCCUUCUGCUGUAGGUUUUGAUGUUGUAGGCUUUUCAUAUUUUAUAGCUGAUUGUUCUUCCCUGACAUCUCCAUCCUUCUGCGCUGGUCUCCAAGGGACUGCUAAGUUCAGGAGCCGUUGCAUUCAGCUAUUUUGAUGGUGUUGCACUCCCAGUUGCUUUCUCUCAUUUGAAAACUGCAAGCAGUAUUGAAGCAAUCUAUACUGGAGUCACUCUCUUCCCACUCUGAAGUUUGCCAGGCAAGUUAUGGUUAAUUGGAUGUUACAUUUUUUGAGGCAACUUUGGAAAACAACAGCUUAUACCAGUUUUUCGAGUCCUAAAAUAUAACCUUGAAAAUCAAGCCUUAAGUUUUUAACAUCUCAGUACGUGAACUGUUCUGUGUGAUCUGUUCUUAUUCCUUCCUCAUCGAGAAUUUUUAAUAGAGCUUAUUAAACAUUACAGGAACACCCUUAAUCUUAGUCAUCUCAAGUUGUAAAAUAAUUAUAUUCCAUUUAAACCUAUCUCGCUGAACUUUGGUGUCAUCAGAGCUUUGUAGGAUCUGAUGCCGUCUAAUGAAGCCAAGUCUUUAAUCCAAGUAACUCUCAUCUGUGGCUGCCGAUUCUGAAGCUGCUCUGAGCAUUAGUUCAGAAUUCAGUUUUGUUCUAAAUCUGAUUGGAAAACUAGGAAUGUAAUUCACAUGGACAGCUAUACAGUGCUUUGUGUGGAUUAGCUGGAACCUUUCGGACUGCUGCAGCAAUGCCUGGGAAUAGCAGUGUGUGUCAGUAUCAAACCCAAAUGCAAGCAGGGAUAUUCUGGUCCUAACGACAGGAUUUGUUGUACCGUACUUGCUAACUGAUGGAAGGGACUGACCCUAUCCACACACACAUCUUAGCAGGAGGCACUGAGAUUGAAGUGGCUCCUGGGACCCUCCCUGUUUGGCAUGAUUCUGCCUCUUGAGUGAGGAGACCUAAUGAAUAAGGGCUUUGAUAGAAGUCAGUAUCUGAGGACAGAAGGGCAGGAAGCAUGACUUAGCAUGAGAUGUCAGUUCUUGGUAGUGACCUGGAGCUGCUGACCUGACAGGGAUGGUUGGAAGCAGCUGAUCGUCCUCCAGAGCUGUGGGCAGCAGUGUGACAAGGGCUCCUUCCAAGGGAGGAGGCUGAAGUCUUGCUGUUGAAGCCAUUCGCUUGUUACAAUAAUAUGGAGAGGCACUUAGCUGCCCUGCACAGAAUUCAAAUAGCUUGAUAUUUGAAAUGGAUUAACUUGAAAUCUGUGUUGUAUUUUACCAAACACAGCGACCAGGAGAUGAGAAACUCCUCCGGGUAAUAAACGCUCCUACUCCGUGCGUCCCGCAGGGAAGUGAUGGGCGGGGGUGAGGCUGCUGAGAGUUGGGAGUGCUGCCAUCUAUUGACUGCUUUCAUGACAGCCUGGAGUUCUGCGUUUCCCAGGCCAAGCAGGAGCCCCAACUGGCACAGCUUGUGCAAAAGGGGCAGACUCAGCGCCUGAACCACGGAACCAGAAGGAUUUCUUGCUAUCAUUCUUGCUCCUGAUUGUGCGAGGCGCUUCCCUCCUAGCAGAACGGGUUAAUAUGGCGUGCAGUCUGAAUAUUCUGAAUAUUGUGAGCAGGCAGAAAAUGGCACUGCCUUUCUUACAGAGCUGUGUUUGAUGAAGCAUGUGUGCUCUUUCUUGCCCCCAAAAUUCUGAAUAGGGUUUAGAAUUUUCUUCUCUCGGCCCUUUAAUCCUCAAGUCCAGCAUCAAUCAUCUGCUUUCCAUGAUCUCAGAAAACGUGUCUGUGCUUCUUGGAGUUGAAUGCACACUGGCCACAAAACCCACAAAAUCCAUCCAUGGAAUUGUGUAAAUUGGAUCAGAGAGGAGACAUUUCUCGCAAAAGUUUCCAAGUGCAAACUUGGUGGUGUGCACAAAUUCCACCAUUGCCAUUGGAAGUUGUGAAGGUAACUGACAGCUCCCUGUUUUCUCAUGGUCAUUCAUCAUCUUCCUGUCUGCUGUUCUGCACUUUGGAUGUGACUCCUAGGAGCAGGAGCUGCUCUCUGUGCUUCCCAGAUGGGAUGUGGGCCUGGAUGCUGCUUUGCUGCAAAUCUUUGCAGAAUGGCUUAGGUUGGAAGGGACCUUAAAGAUCACAUCAUUUCAAGCCCCGUGCCGGGCUGGUUGUCCCCGGCAGAUCAGGCACUAAGUGUGCCCAGCGUGCAGCUUGCUGUAGUGAGGCACUGGAGCCACAAAGAAAUAGGAAAUCCUUCUAGGUUUUACUUCUGCUUCUAAUGUUAAUGUGUUUUCCUGGAGGUUUUCUUUCUGCUUGGGUUGAGUACACGGCUGAAUUUACAGUGAUACAUUAGAAGCUGCACUUACGGCAUUCCUCCGUCUACCCUGCUUUUAAUCCUUGAUAAAUGAAGUAUUAAGCACUAAUGGCAUACCAGUAAAUGGAAACUCCUGGAGAGAUGAAAGCGAGUGACCCUGCUACCACUGCACUGAGUAAUCCGAAAUAAUGGGAUCCCAGUUCAAACUGCUGUCAGUGGGAGACCGAAGGACUUUUCCCAAGUUUUCCCAGUGCAUAAUAUGGACUCUUUUCCAUUUCAUUCCCAAUGUUUUUUUUUUUCAAAAGCAAUCAUGUAAGUGGUGUUCUAAUAGUUUGACUUUGGCAAAUGUCUCCUCCUGCGUUUUGUGAAGAGCUGAAUGGUGCUUCCCUCGGCACGAACAGCCCGUCUUUAAUUGAAAUGUAAUUGUUUACUAAACCAUUCCAACUGGAAGGGAAAAUUACUAUCAUUUUGGUCUGUGGCUGCAUACAUUAGAGCACCCUUUUACGGGGACUGAAUUUAAGGAGAAUAGGAACAUUAUCACAGACGAUAUAUAAACAGAAAGCUAUUAUCAUUAAACUGUCAAUUGCAACUGAAUUUGGAUAACCAGCGUUAGAGGCAGCAAGAAGUAUGCAAAUGACUUUGAGAAUGUAUCUGUCAGCUCCGACACUGAGGAAUGGGACAUGCUUGGGAGCUUUGAGUUUCUGAGCAGUUUAGGGAUCAGAAGAAAAACGAGGUCAUCUUGAGCAUUUGCAGUUAUUUCUCGUCUCACUGGCAAUGUUUUGCAAUUUGUUGAUUUGUAUCUGUAAGGUACAGUAUGAGCAUGCAGACUUUGUCCUCCCAACCUAUGGCUGAUGCACUGCCAGCUCCCCGCUCAGGUGGCUGCCUAUGAGUGCUCACAUCUUGCAGCUGGGAAAACUGGUGGAAAGUUCCCUACCUUAAAUAUGACCACGCAGCAAAGCCAGGAAACGUGUCCUGAGGUGAAUUCCUUCAUUUCUAAUUCCCUGUCCUGGUGUAGCCACUGUUCAGCUGCUCCUAAUUGCUUCUCCGAAUCGUCCUCUGGUUUUAAGGGAAUCAGAUGUUCUCCUCCAGUUGAUGCUGUCAUAUGAAAUAUGAAAAGGAGUAAGUGGUUUUCUGGCCUCUACAUCAUUGCUGUGGGGCAGAUGUGAUGGCCUUUCCUACCAUUGCUGCCAGCACCCUGUUACCUAAUUUUUAAUUGCUUGCUAUUAAAAUUGCAGCCUUCCCUCUUAUUUUUAAGUCACAGCGCUCGUGUAAAUCUCACAGGUAAUGUAAAUCUCUGGUCUUUAAGUGCUGCGUGUGCUUUAUGAGACAUGGGACAAAUUCUAGUUGGGGGUACUUAGUGCUAGCUAGCACAGCAAUUGGGAAGUGAAAGAGAUCGCUUUAAGCAAUUUGAAUCUGAGCUGGAGUGCUGCACAUUUUCUAUGUAAACGCAGCAGUUCCAACUGGGGGAGUUCUGGGAGGCAGCAUCGCUCCAGAUCCGUGGUAUUGUCAGGCUGCAGCACUGAGCUGCCCUUCACACUGCUACGGAUUUAUUGUGUGCAUCAAGCAGGAGUCGGGAAUAGUGGGAUAAAAGCUGUGCUGUGACCUGCUUCACUGAAAAGGACCCGGCAAGGCAGAGUAUGGAUUUUUUUCCUUUUUGAACUGCGUAUGUUCCAGCGAGGUCUCUUUAGAGCCUGCAGCUGCCUGAAGGACAGCUGUACAGAAAGGAGGAGGCACGGGGCUCGUCGACAGCUUAAUUCACACACUGAGGCUGCUUUUCUUUAAAAACACUACUAAUCCUAUUUUAGGUUUGGGGGGCAUGGUUUGGCCUGCUUGUGGUUGCCAUCAAGGUGACAUGGCUGCACAGCCAAGUCUGUACGGACCGCAGCAAGGCCAGCUCUGCUACGUGUGGUAAGCAGGAUGCAAGAGGACCUGGCAUUGCCAGCACACAUUUGAUGCUUUGUGCAAAAAGGAUUGGUAGAGUCUGGUCAGCUCCUGAAGGCAGUCAGACCCUCUUAUUUAAUCUGCAGUGGUGGCAGAUCCCCUAACUCCGCUCCUCCAGCUCCUGUUGGAGCGGCACGAGAAAUACCAACAGUUCUGUGUGUUUUCAUGGAGGGAACCCAUGGGAGGAAUAUUCAACAUUUAGGCUGUAAGUAGGGCUAAUAGGAAAUGCUAAUUCACAUUUCAUUCUUUUGAUCAGUGUAUAUUGAAUGAUAAUUACAGUGAUAGUAGUUGGCACUUCUGUAGCACCUUUCAUCUGAGGCUGUUAAAGUGUUCUGCCAAUCUCAAUGAAUUCAAGCUUGCAGUCACUGUGGGGUUGCAAAUUAUCAUAAUGCCUUAAACUAAAUGGGGAAACUAAGGUCUGGAAGGAUUAUAUGACUUUCUCCAUCUUUCAUAAUCUGUAUAAAAGAGUUGGGACUGCACAGUAAUGCUGCUGGCCAUCUUUCGUGGGGAGCAGUUCAAGGCAUCGCUUAAAAUGGUGAAAACUAUUGAAGUUGUCCAGAGGACUGUGCUUACACUGUUUGUUGCUUUGUUUGUGGCAAUUUCACAGUUUGCUAUCUGCUCAAGCAUCCUGCUCUAUUCUGUUCUGUUGAAAUUGUUUGAAUUUUACCCACAAAGAGCAACAACCUGAAGCUCUCUUUGGAUUCUCUGCCGAUGUUCCCAGCAUCAAUUCUUUACAGUCUUCCAAUUCCAAUUCUGAUUUGAACAGAAGAAAUUAGCUCUUGCUCAUUUCAAAACUACUACCAAAAAUUUUUUGAUUGCUUUUUAACCCACUUCCUGGAAGUCCAAAUGCAAACACCCUGUGCUAAUUAAUGGGCUGUGGGAAGAUUAAUCUGAGUAGCCUCACUCCAAUGAAAAGUAAAGAGUAAACAAACAAAGUUUUACUUUCUUUAAACCUCUCAGACUGCUGGUAGCACCGAGGAAAGUAGCAUUUAAGUAUACAGCUUGACAGUUUAAUUUGUUUCUGGGUCACAGCUAAAGAAUUGUACUGCAGAUAUAAAGGGUAGGGUAAUAAAUACAUUCAGUUUUCCCACUUUCAGAAGUGCUGAUGUUGUGCUUUCAGAAAACAAGUCAAACAGUGCAAGGAAUUGGUGCUUAGAGAGCCCCAGUGGCCAUGAGUGUCUGUCUAAUGAGGACCUUAAUCUGAAUUUUUUUCCAUUUGGAAACAUGUAUUGCUUUGUCUCAUGGAUAUUAGACACUAACUUAGAUAUGAAAUUGAUUAUAAUGGAAUUAACAGAAAUGUUUUCAUGUUAUCACUGAGUAGUUCUCAUUAAAUAAUUUCCAAGUUUGAAAUUAAGUUCUGAAACAGAUUUUUUUCCUAGACUAAACACCUCAAUAAAUGUAACCACACCAUAUUUUGA